ensembl:snoRNA
GCAGACUCACUCUGUACUGAACUGCAGUCUUCAGUUCAGGUGCUUUUUCUGUCUGCGAGAGUAAUAGUUCACAGGAGUGACAACUGCCUUCUUUUUCAUAGAAGGCUGUUACAGUUGCUGUUGGGACAUUGCU